CCUACGGGUGGCAGCAGUGGGGAAUAUUGGGCAAUGGGCGCAAGCCUGACCCAGCAACGCCGCGUGAAGGAAGAAGGCUCUCGGGUUGUAAACUUCUUUUAUCAGGGACGAAGCAAGUGACGGUACCUGAUGAAUAAGCCACGGCUAACUACGUACCAGCAGCCGCGGUAAUACGUAGGUGGCAAGCGAUAUCCGGAUUUACUGGGUGUAAAGGGCGUGUAGGCGGGAAAGCAAGUCAGAUGUGAAAACCAUGGGCUCAACCUGUGGCCUGCAUUUGAAACUGUUUUUCUUGAGUACUGGAGAGGCAGAUGGAAUUCAUAGUGUAGCGGUGAAAUGCGUAGAUAUUAGGAGGAACACCAGUGGCGAAGGCGGUCUGCUGGACAGCAACUGACGCUGAGGCGCGAAAGCGUGGGGAGCAAACAGGAUUAGAUACCCCGGUAGUC
rnacentral:rRNA from 1 species